rnacentral:rRNA from 1 species
UACGUAGGGUGCAAGCGUUGUCCGGAAUUAUUGGGCGUAAAGAGCUCGUAGGCGGUCUGUUGCGUCUGCUGUGAAAACUCGGGGCUUAACCCCGAGCCUGCAGUGGAUACGGGCAGACUAGAGGUAGGUAGGGGAGAAUGGAAUUCCCGGUGUAGCGGUGAAAUGCGCAGAUAUCGGGAGGAACCCCGGUGGCGAAGGCGGUUCUCUGGGCCUUACCUGACGCUGAGGAGCGAAAGCGUGGGGAGCGAACAGG